rnacentral:rRNA from 1 species
AACGAACGCUGGCGGCAGGCCUAACACAUGCAAGUCGAGCGCCCGCAAGGGAGCGGCAGACGGGUGAGUAACACGUGGGAACCUACCCUUUCCUACGGAAUAACACAGAGAAAAUUUGUGCUAAUACCGUAUACGCCCUUCGGGGGAAAGAUUCAUCGGGGAAGGAUGGGCCCGCGUCCGAUUAGCUGGUUGGUGGGGUAAUGGCCUACCAAGGCGACGAUCGGUAGCUGGUCUGAGAGGAUGAUCAGCCACAUUGGGACUGAGACACGGCCCAAACUCCUACGGGAGGCAGCAGUGGGGAAUAUUGGACAAUGGGCGCAAGCCUGAUCCAGCCAUGCCGCGUGAGUGAUGAAGGCCUUAGGGUUGUAAAGCUCUUUCACCCACGACGAUAAUGACGGUAGUGGGAGAAGAAGCCCGGCUAACUUCGUG